rnacentral:rRNA from 1 species
UACGUAGGGACCAAGCGUUGUCCGGAAUCAUUGGGCGUAAAGAGCGUGUAGGCGGCUUGUUAAGUCUUGCGUGAAAUCUCGGGGCUCAACCCCGAGCGGUCGUGAGAAACUGGCAGGCUAGAGUGCGGGAGAGGAGAGUGGAGUUCCUGGUGUAGCGGUGAAAUGCGCAGAUAUCAGGAGGAACACCGGUGGCGAAGGCGGGUCUCUGGGCCGUAACUGACGCUGAGGAGCGAAAGCGUGGGGAGCGAACAGG